CCGCGAUAUCGAAGAUGAUAGCAUCAAAUUUACACAGUGGCUAUAUGAUCGACAAUCGCUUGUCAUUCGACAAUUAGGACAAAACUGGCUGGGGAAACCCCGUUGAAAGAUUUCAACCUGUUGGGUAAAAGUCGCAAUUUUUUGGUCUUCAUUAUGGUUCUAUUCCACAAGUUCAAGUGAUGCCUCUUCCUCGCCGUUGCCCCACAGGGUCAAUUACGAGAAUUGAAGAAAACAAUUGAAUUACUUUUUCUUACCUUGAGAAGCUUUGUGUGGCACAAAUAGGAUUUUUUUGGCAAGGUCAUCCAUUUUUUAUAGGCUGCUGCUCCACGAGAAACUCGACGAGCGUGUAAACAUGAAACAAAACAAACACGAACACGAAAAAAUUUUAAAAGGGAAUCACCCGAGUUUUCUUCAAUAUUCAAUCCGUUAAUUUCUCAAUAGUAUUUCGUCCGAUUAAAAACCAUUUACUGUUACUUGCGCAUUGCAAUCUAGCAAUAGCCUAAAAUACUGAAAUGUAAAAUUAAAAAACUGUCUGAAUAAAUUCCAAAAUGUACAACCUA